rnacentral:misc_RNA from 1 species
GAUGAAGAACGUAGCGAAAUGCGAUAAGUAAUGUGAAUUGCAGAAUUCAGUGAAUCAUCGAAUCUUUGAACGCACAUUGCGCCCGCCAGUAUUCUGGCGGGCAUGCCUGUUCGAGCGUCAUUUCAACCAUCAAGCCCUCGGCUUGUGUUGGGGACCUGCGGCUGCCGCAGGCCCUGAAAACCAGUGGCGGGCUCGCUAGUCACUCCGAGCGUAGUAAUACAUCUCGCUCAGGGCGUGCUGCGGGUUCCGGCCGUUAAAAAGCCUUAUUUACCCAAGGUUGACCUCGGAUCAGGUAGGAAGACCCGCUGAACUUAAGCAUAUCAAUAAGCGGAGGA